rnacentral:lncRNA from 1 species
CUGUCAGUCAGCCCCAUCACUUGGACAGCCAUUCAAGAUCUUGUUGUCUUAUUCAAGACUCCCCAGCAAUCUUUUGUUUGCUUUUGGUUUUGCUCUUUCAUAUAACCUCUCCCAUACACCUGCUCCCCUUGAUUCAGUUUUCUGGACUUUAUUAGGAUUUCUUCCUUGCUUAUAGCCUCACCAUCCUUCUCAGCUGGGACUUCUCCUCCAGCACCUUUCUGCAGAUCCUCCUGCUGAAGUCUGUUCCUCCCCAGCAGCUGCUGCUGCUUGCAUAUCAUUCACUCUCAAAUCUGUACUUGGGCAUCAUUGGCCAGCUGUCAACAGUCAGGUAGCUCUGUCCUCUGGUCCCAGUACCACCAGUGGCGCUGCUUCUGGUUCUCCCCUUCCCCAGGGCCGAAUGACCUUCCUUUCAGUACACGAGACAGUGGAAGGGCCACAGGAAGCCCUGAGGUCUUCAGUGUACUCUGCUGCCAUUUGGGUUUGAGAAACCCCUUGCUGUUCUUGCUGCCUGUCACCAUGGUGAGCUAGUACACUGAGACACAGAGUGUUAGCCUGGUCUAACAUCUUCCCCAGCAAUGAAGGAAAAUGAAACCAAACACGGGGUGGAUAAGUCUUUUGCACCAAGGCCACACUUCCAACAAAGGACAAACAGAACCUUUCCAUGUUUGUCCUUCAUGUAGUAGCACAGUUCAACUCAGGGAAUGAGUUGAACACUUUGAAUUUGGCCUGCGAAUUUUUGUAUUGGUUUCUGUCAGCUCUGCACUUGGCAUUUUAAUCUUGGGCAUCAGUGGUCUGAGAUACAAUUUUCCUUGUAACUGAAAAAAAAAGAAAGAAACUGAACGGGCACCUUGCAUACGGCCAUCUUUUUAUGGGCAAGAGAAAAGAAGGCAGAAAGACAGACUAGUGACAGUUCAAGAACAUGAGACAAGCUAACUUUUCACAGACUUCCAUCCUGACCUGUUUGCUGUGUUAAAUCCCCCUCCUCUGCUCUGCUGUGAGCUGUUAAUACUCCAAACGCUGUUAGAAGGCUAUCUGGAUCCCUGUGGAAGCAGAUAAGAGGUAAACAUGUGGGGCUCCAUGCAGCGGUGGAAGCUUGAAGGAAAAGAAAAAAUGAGAGAAGAAAAAUGAACAAAAUAUUUUAAGUCAAUGAAGUGAAAGAAUAGCAACUUUUCCCCUAUUGAGUUGUAUAUCAGUACAGACUCCUUUCCUCAGGGAAGGAAAUGUUGAAUGAGAAAGGAAUGAGGUAUAGCUUUAAUCAGCUAUUUUAUGCUAACAGCGCCUAAUCUGAGAUGAACAUUAGUAAGGGUUUGG